GCCAUGUUAGGAAGUUUUGGAUUUAUUUGUAGGUUUAUGUGCUUUUGGUGUUAAACAGUAUUCAUUAUGGGCUGAAGUCUUUUUACCCAGAAUCCCACACACACCCUUCUGGUUUCAAGGUCUUGAUACACAGUAUUACACAAGGGUGGAUAAAUCAUUAGCCCAGACGCCUGGGAAAAGCAGAUUACACAUCUGGGUGGUCAGUUUUUUUAUUUUUUUUAUUUUUUCCCCCUUGCUCGGUGGCUAGGUGACUCAGUAGACUGAUGGUCUCCAGGAUUUUAUUAUUUUUUUCUUUCAGAGAAGUUUACCAGUCUCUCUAGCAGGCCAUUUGAUACCCUUUUGAAAGCAACACACUCAAACAGAUGAAUGAACUGGUGUCAUGAUUAACAUGUAAACGUCAGAAAGAUGUCGAUCCUGCUUGUUGUUGAUGAAUGACAAUGGGGAAGUUUUACAACGCGAAUACGUAGUCACGUCGCUGGGAAUUGACUCAUCAGUGGCCCGGUGUGCAGUGAGCCAGGACUUUACCAGUGCCCCAACUCGUGUACGCGAUAUACUGAUUCACCACCUAGGGAGUGAGGGAGCUGAUUGAGACACAGCUUUAAUCUUGCUAGCUUUACACCUGACCAUGCGCGUCUGCCCGCAUGAAAACACAAAACCCCGGGAUCCCAGUCCUGAUACAUAUCUGUAUCUGAAUACAGAGACUGUAGAUACUUGGAGUCAAAACCCCAGCGCCUGCUGCACAACAAACACCAACUGGGAAUUAGUCAGGUCAGUUAUAUUAAUACCAGUCUAUAUUACUGACUUUACGAACUAGCGAACUUGCUUAUUAUGCCUGGAGUAAGUUAAUGUAGCUACCAUUUUUAGCCUAGUUUAUGUCGCUAGUCUUUUAUUUUGUGAUAAUAGCAGCACAUAGCAGUGUAUUAUAACACAUAGCAGUGUAUUAUAACAGUGAUAAUAGCAGCACAUAGCAGUGUAUUAUAACACAUAGCAGUGUAUUAUAACAGUGAUAAUAGCAGCACAUAGCAGUGUAUUAUAACAGUGAUAAUAGCAGCACAUAGCAGUGUAUUAUAACACAUAGCAGUGUAUUAUAACACAUAGCAGUGUAUUAUAACACAUAGCAGUGUAUUAUAACAGUGAUAAUAGCAGCACAUAGCAGUGUAUUAUAACAGUGAUAAUAGCAGCACAUAGCAGUGUAUUAUAACACAUAGCAGUGUAUUAUAACAGUGAUAAUAGCAGCACAUAGCAGUGUAUUAUAACAGUGAUAAUAGCAGCACAUAGCAGUGUAUUAUAACAGUGAUAAUAGCAGCACAUAGCAGUGUAUUAUAACAGUGAUAAUAGCAGCACAUAGCAGUGUAUUAUAACAGUGAUAAUAGCAGCACAUAGCAGUGUAUAUUUUCACAUAGCAGUGUAUUAUAACACAUAGCAGUGUAUUAUAACAGUGAUAAUAGCAGCACAUAGCAGUGUAUUAUAACACAUAGCAGUGUAUUAUAAACAUGAUAAUAGCAGCACAUAGCAGUGUAUUAUAACACAUAGCAGUGUAUUAUAACAGUGAUAAUAGCAGCACAUAGCAGUGUAUUAUAACAGUGAUAAUAGCAGCACACAGCAGUGUAUUAUAACAGUGAUAAUAGCAGCACAUACAAAAACAGGACUCGCCUAUCAUAUGUUCUUUGUGAAGUUCAUUGAAAUAGAUAAGUUUUAUACUUCGCUGAGUUUUGUUUGAAGAUCUUGUUGGACUAUUGGAAGAGCAUCAGUCAGUAGAUUAUGUUGGAAGUUUUCAUGUGUAAUCGGCGCUUCUUCUGAGUCAGAGGUUCCGCAGAGCUUCUGCUGUACUGUAAGCGCUAGUGUGCAUGUUGAAGGGUUGUGCUGAUUGAAGAUAGAUUUUCCACUCCAUUUCAGUGUUUUACUGAGACUGCACAUUUCAUCACAUGCGUUUCUGUAUGCCGUAAGGGCCUCUUUAUCACUUCUAUGAGCACUGAAGUGCAGUCAAGGUCAGGACGUUUCAGCGAGGUUGCUCUAAAUGAAGCCGAAAGAGUUGCAACCAGUUUCCUAAUGCUCGUCCUCUAUUUUCCCCCUCAUGUAGUGCUCAGUUUGUGUCUGACUGAGAGAGAGAGAGAGAGAGAGACAGAGUUUUAUACGAUCGAUUGUAAAUAGUGUUGCUGUGUCCCGGCCACGUUGCCAUGGCUCUUAAUUAGAUUACUGAAUACGAGCUUCUUGGUGACGGUUUGAGCAAAAGCAAGUCGAUACAUUAACACAGCCUGCCAUGUCCCAUCACACCGUCCUUUACUAACGCACGCCCCGGCUGAGCAGAGGCCAGAGAGAUGGACCCUGAAAUCAGCACGACAGAAUGAAGAGGAGAGAGAGACAGAGGGUGGGAGAGAGAGGGAGAGAUAGAGAGAGGGAGGGAGAGAGAGAGAGAGA
ensembl:lncRNA